rnacentral:tRNA from 1 species
GUCCCUGUAUUGCAAUGGAUAGCGUGUUGGACUUCUAAUCCAAGGGUCGUAGAUUCGAAUCCUACCUGGAAUG